CAACCUAGAAUUUUAUAUCCAGUCAAGUGUGAGGGGAGGGGAAAAAAGACAUUCUCAAAUGCUCAAGGGCAAGAAACCUUACCACUGUGCACCUUUUAUCAGGAAGCCUCUGAAAGACACAUUCCAUUUAAAAGGAGCAAAGAAGAAAGAAGGUGUGGGAUCCAGGAAACAGGGUUCUAACACGGGAGAGAAGUGAAGGAAAUCACCAAGACGAAGGGAGAAGUGUUGCCCAACAUUGACAACCAUGCUGCAAGUUAAAGAGAAGCCAGUCCAGAUUGUGGCAAGAGGGUGAAGGGUCCAGGAGUGUGGACCUCAUGGGGAAAGCCAGACUUAGAGAUGGCUUGGACUGUCUACCCUAAUGAAGGGAGCCAGGCAACUCCAGCUGAGACUGUGGGUAAUGAAUUAAUACACAAUUAAGUACACGGAAAAUUAAGCAACCAGAAAAACAAGGCAACUAUUAAUAAAAAAAAAACCAAAAAGCUUAAGAAUGGAAACAACCAAAUUGCACUCUCAUAUUGUAGUUAUCUGUGAGUGUUUGUGCAUGUUUGCAAAUGGGACACCAAGGGUGGGGGCAUUGAGAGGGAACUAAAUAUCCAUCUUCCUUGGUGGAAAUAAAUAGAAAAUGUCUGUGGUUGAAAAUCAAGAAAUAGAAAAAACACGCUCUUGAGAUAUAUGCAGUAAAUACUAGAAGAAAUAGUUGAAGUUAAAAAGGGAUUACCUAUAAUGCUGGGCAUUAGAUGAAAAAGAUUAGGGCUUUUAUUCAUCAUUAAAUUUAUAACAUUCUAUUUGACUUUAAAAAUAUACACUUGUAUUUUAUGAUAAAAAAUAAAAGUUAAAAAAUAUGUAAGAAAAAGAGCAAAAAGACAUACACCAAAAUGUUUACAGUGGUUCCUUCUAAACAUGUUUUAGAAUUUUUAUUUACUUUGUAUUUUUUUGCAUUUUCCAAAUUUUCUUCUUUUGGCAUAUAUUACUUUCGCAAUUAGCAAAAUAAUAAAUAAUUACAUACACCCAGGGAAAUGUGCAGAAUCACUAAAAUAAGGGUGAUUAUUUUGAAGUCUUCAACAUCUCUCUGUGUGUAUGAACUCAGUCAUAUAUGUUGAAAUAUUCUGUCACUUAACAUUAUAAUCAUCUUUCUCCUCUGCAGCUAUCUGGGCCCAGGUCAAUGGUCUCUCAAGUUUCAAUGGAAACGAGUUAAAUAUUAAUUUUCACUGAGCUUCAUGAACUGCAUUAAAAUAGCACAUAGGCUAUAUAAAAAGUAACCAGAAAGAAUGGCUCAGUACAAUACUGUUUCGGUAGGAUCAUUUUUAUUGCAUACUUCCUUUUUUAAAAAGACUAAAAAAGUACUCUUACAAGCUCCUGGAACUCUACGUCCUAUCCAGGCUUUUGUUCUGGAGGCUAAGGCCAGGGACGGGGGAUAGCCUGGGGAGGAGACUCCCUGAGGGUGCAAAUUUGGCCAGAUCUAAGCUGACAGUGGUAGCAGGUUUGGAGAGUGGCAGGGCCCUGCAUCCCACUGCCAGGCGGCCCAGAGCAGGCGGUCUCUUGGAGGGUAUGUAGCUGCUGCAGAAACUGAUGGCUCACUGCCCAGCCUUGGGACUCACUGAAGCUAGGAACAGGGCCUUCCUGCCUUUGAAUCACUGAUUGAAUCAGCCUGGGCAACGACCCCUGUACGAACAUCUCAGGCAUGACCGUGAUGGACCGAAGCUCGCAGGUCUUCCUCAAGUUUUCUGGACGUUCUAGUUUCUUGAGAUGCUUGGAAGCUCCUGGGCAGAGGAUCAGCUAAAAAAGUCUCAUUGCCUCACCACUCGGGGACGUGGGGCUCAGAGACAAAGCAUGUUUGAUUUAGAGAAAUAAAGCGAAGCGAUGUUUCUUGCAUUGAUGGAUGGUAUAGAAAUUUAUACCCCCAUACUGUUUGAUCUAGACUUCUCUGCUCUCAUUAGAAUGUGAUUGGACAGUGGGAAGCGAGAUGGUUCCCUGGAGCGCCAGAGAUUAAACAGUUUUCCUGGAAAUGGCUCUGUGUUUCCGUGACUUGGGUCACCGUUAGCCCAGAGGUAAAGCCUCGGCAUUAUCAGUUUUCAGUGACUCUGACCACUGGGACAGACCCUCUGUCUUUACAGUCUUGUUUUACUGUAAUUUAUGCCACCACUGUUUUUUCGUUAUUGGUCCCACAAUGCUUUUUUCUCUAUUAGUAUUAAACAAUUAAAAUCUAUUUGUGUUAGUAUAUGAAGGACGUGAAAAACUGUAUAAAAAAGAGCCUCAGGAGGUAAGUGACACUUUUGUAAACCAAAACUGUAAGAAUGGAGGGAGCCUUUGGCACGGGUCUUUCAAAGGCAUAAAUGACCACCUGCCAGUGAAGCAGCGCCAUUUCCUGGACGCCGUGAAGGACCCUGGGAGACCAUGGUCAGCAGAGUGGACGCUGUCCCUGUGGAGCAUGGCUCAGGGGCGCAGAGGACAUGGUUGCGUCUCUGCUGGGGCAGUGUGGCUCCCGGGAGAACGUGCAGGGUUAGGGGUGGGAGGGCAGUGGAGGGGCCGCUCUGUGGGGCUCUCCGGGGGAGCCUAGAUGCUGAAAGGUUAGGGUGAAGUAAUUUCCCCCUCUGCUAGUGGAGCUGCCCUCACCUCGUUGUGUAAUGACCUUGUGAAACCAGCUAGUGCCCCUAGCAGCUGCUCCCCCUGAGUGCGGUGGCCUGGCCGCAGGUCAGAGCGGCUUCUUGUGGGAGCGUCUCCUGCCUCGGGAGAAGGCCUUGACCCCAACCCACAGGCGGCAUUUUGUUGGCCCUGAGGUGCCCGGUCUCUGGCAAAUGGUAUGAUUUGGGUUGGCCAAAUGCAGACCAGCACAUUUUCCCUAAGGACUAGUGAUCCCUUUCUGUGCUUCUAGCUCUCCAUAUCACCAUAAUUUGAACCAUAAUUUGGACAAUGAAGCCUCAAAAGACUCAGCAAGAGCAUCCGACCUUCCACCCUCAAACUGCCUAAAGGACUUGAACAUAGAAGGUCUGUGCCAGGAAGGAGCUCCUAUCGGGUGAUAGCUAUAGUAUGAUGGAAAAUAGGUGUGAUAAAAGGACACCAACAAACCCCCAACAAACCCAUUUUUGGGGCCUAGCAAAACCUGUUUAACAAACAUUUGCAUUCCAUCUCUAUGUAGAUUGUCUUCCUCCCCUUUGAAGUCCCAGAUCACUGUGUCCUUCUGGUCUGUAGCUGAGGGUACUUAAACACGUGGACUCAGCCAGAUGGCUGAGGUACUCAGUUUCCUCUGGGUUUCUCCCAUGUAUACAUGCUAUUAAAUUUUGUUUGAUUUUCUCUUGCUAACCUGCCUCUUUGAUUAUUUGACCAGCCAUAAGAACCUUAAGGAAAAGCGGUGGGGGGAAUUCUCCCACUUCCCCGACACAAGCAAGAUAAUUUCUUCGUGGGUCUCCUGACACCAUCCAAACUCCAGAAAUCAUUUAACUUUCACCCUUAAUAUACUCUAUGGGCUUGCUGCUGUUGUGUUUUGAGUCAGGAAACUGGUUCCUACUGGGAGGAAAUAACACUAUUUAAGACACACAGGGGAAUGACUUCUACCAUGGUGCCAAUACUGUGCCACCAGAGGCUCUAGCACAGAGCCACACGUUGCUGUGCUUGAAAUCCAGCACUUGAUCACUAAGCCCAGUACACAGCACUAGCCCAGCAAGACCCGCCCUGCACUCUGCUGCCGGGACAGGGGGAGUUCGCGUCCCUGGAUGUGUUCUCUCUCUUCUCUGCCUUCACCCCUGCCAUCCACCAUGUGCUCUGCAGACACUGAAUGAAGUGCCAGGGUGUCUGGUGAAAUGUGGCAAAGAGAAAUGGGGUUGGAGGGAUCACUCUAGACCGGCCUCAGGGCCUCCUGCCAGAGACACAAGUAAUCCAGAGGCGAUGGUGGUGGGGCAGGAAGAGGACCCAGAGGGCUCCAGAGAUGCCUAGGAGGUUUGAAUAAUCAAGACUGGUGACAACCCAGGUGAUCUGGAGAUAAAGGAAAAAGGAAAGAUAAGUCAUACCAGCUUGCGUGUGUGAACACUUACAAAGAUUGAUUAUGGAUGAUUUUUGUCGACAUUUCUUGGAGUAGUCACAGCAGGAUUUCAGAGAAACCCACUGGAGACCACCUGGAAUCUACACUGAGCCGGCAUUCAGUACCAACAGGGGCCCAUUGAGCCCCCCGGAUCACUGCAUUCUUCAAGUGACCCUGGCUAGGAACUGAUUGCUGUGCUCACCUUUGACCACCCAGCUCACCUGUGACCACCCAGC